AUUGAACGCUGGCGGCAGGCCUAACACAUGCAAGUCGAACGAGUGGCGGACGGGUGAGUAAUGUCUGGGAAACUGCCCGAUGGAGGGGGAUCACUACUGGAAACGGUAGCUAAUACCGCGUACCAUCGGCUGUGCCCAGAUGGGAUUAGCUUGUAGGUGAGGUAACGGCUCACCUAGGCGACGAUCCCUAGCUGGUUUGAGAGGCUGACCAGCCACAUGGGAACGGGGACACGGUCCAGACUCCUACGGGAGGCAGCAGUGGGGAAUAUUGCACAAGGGGCGCAAGCAUGAGGCAGCAAUGCCGAGUGUAUGAAGAAGGCCUUCGGGUUAUAAAGUACUUUCAGCGGGGAGGCGUUACCCGCAGAAGAAGCACCGGCUAACUCCGUGCCAGCAGCCGCGGUAAUAC
rnacentral:rRNA from 1 species